GGGAGAGCGAGGGGCUGCCGGAAGCCGCGCCGCCGCCCGACCCGUCGCUACGGCACGCCGGAGCGUUUUUAGAACCUGACAAUUGGCACAGGGUUAAACGUCAGCCGCGCUGACGUGCUGCUCGAUUUACAGCACGUUAAGCAUUCCCGAAACCGCGAUCAGCGAUCUGUUUUGGGUCAAUCAGACGUCUCAUUACUGCUUUGCCAACGUCACUAUAAGCAGCUCGCAGAUAAACGAGAGCAGCCUCUGGGCUUCCCAGGCUCAUCCUGGGGAAGACAGACUGGCUGCUGUCCCAGUCCAGCAUCCCCACAAGCAAAAAGCUGAAGUCUCUGCCUUCCCUCUGUUAACUCAGUUUCAGCCACUUUACAAAGCCAGGCCCAGAGACUGACUGAAUGGUGGGAUCAGCACAACACAGCUGAGCAUGGGAGCAGGGCUCGGGCAAGCUCUGACCUGCAUCAGCAUCACACUUCUCCACCUGAUGCUCACCUACAGCCUGAGGCUUCUUCACAGCCCCACUGCCCCCUCCUCGCUGUUACGGAAGGUGCUCCUACCACAGACAUCUUUGGACUACCACGAUCAGCCCCCUGAAAUAAUCCUGCCCGGAAGCUUCAGCAAGCACUGACAGACACUUUACGUUCACCUCUGCCUUUGGGGAGGGGGAGUGGGGGGGAUACCCGGUGCCGGAUUUCACUCACCUCUGUGCCAAGUCCUUGAGCCCGGGGACGGCCAGGUUAGCUCAGCAGGGCUGCCGGCUCCUUCCCAGCAUGCAGCACUGAGGUGAGCCCAAGCUGUUUCUUCAGUGUGGUCUCAGUAGCACAGCACGGCACUCCAAGUCCUUUCUUUACUCUGAGUUCUGUUUCAGGCUCCUGGUGGAAAUAGGGAUGCCACUCUCCAGCCCAGCAGCAUUAUUUUCCCAGGCUGACUCUCCUAAGGCUCUUCAUGCAGCUUCUUCCCACCGGUGGACUUCUCCAGCUCAGACUUUUUAAUUCACACAUCAGAUUAGCAAACAGCACUACUUCUCUCUAACAUCUUCCCUGCCACUGCUCACUCCUAUUUAGUAGCUCUGACUCCUUGCAGUCAGCUGGUGCCAAUGAGUUCCAAAUUAGUGACCUCCACUGUUUUGUUUUUUUUUUAAAGGAACAAUCUCUGAUUGCUCUUGGGACAGGUGCAGGUGUGGAGCUGAGCUCAGCUCUGGGGACGUGAAAACAGCUGUGGAUGGGCUGUGGGAAGCAAUGGCCUUACUUCCUCAGUAUUGUAUGUUCCUUUGUCGCUCCACGCUUCCUUUGUGUUUUCAUCCCUUGGAUUUGUGAAAACGUGGUUUUCAGGAUCUUUUCAUGUUGCACUGACCAGUACCAGCAGAUGUAUAGUGCUGCUUUGCUGCUGCAGGCCGGGCUGAGCACAGAUGCCUUCUCCUCAUUCCUUCCCAUGGCCAGGGAGCCGCUCCGGCUGCUUGGGUGGGGAGAACUGCCUGCAAAAUGCUCUAGUGCAGAUGCAGUUACCAGCAAAACAAUGCCGCUGGCAAUGCAGCUUGUUCCUCCUGGGGAACAGUUGGAUUUUUACGCUGGCAAGAGCUUACUGUGCAAAGUUAUGUGCUUAGCAUCACUGUAUGUUGUUUCCAUACAAGGAGUGCUUUGUACAAAGGUAUCAUCACCGUAACCUGUGCGUGUGCCUGACCGUCACAGUGGAUUUACACUUUUCAGUUUAGAAGCAUCCCUCUGGUGAGGAACUCCAGCAAUUGCAGGGCAGGAUUUGCAGAUGGCUGUGAUGGCAGCAGGGCUGAAGAAAAUCAGGUGGCUCUGAAUCUCACAGCAGAGACGAGCAGUAGGGACCUCGCACUUCAGGUGUGGGGCUGAUUUUGGAGGAGUUACAAGCUAGAACUGGGAAACCUGGAAGUUUUCUAUUGCUCGUGUUCUGCUUUUGGUCCCUCAGAAAAGCUCCCUGGCAAAUGGGACUCUGUAGGUCUUUUUUUUGUAAUCUGAAGCACCAUGUAGAACAUGAAGCUGAGCAAUUUCCGUAUACAGAAGAGAUCAUAUCUCCCUCGUACUCACAGUCUCUCUGUUUUUAAUAUCUGUGACUCUGUUUUUAAUAUCAAAGCAAUAAAUGAGUAAGUGCUCGAGCUCUCAAGCCUGGCUCUUGUAAGUGUUCAUAAGACUUGUCAGGUGCUUGAUGGUGCUCGAUCCGCCAGGGAAUUUGCUCUUAUCCCUGCUAAAGGUGAGCUGCAAAGGCAGAGAGAAGUUGGUAUUAAUGCAGCAUCCAAGGCUCUCUGCCCUCCCUGCAUACAUCCCUUCUGGAGCCAUCUGUGUCCAUUGAAUAAAACACAUUUAUUUCAGGGUGGGAAGUAAAGAGGUUCAAGGAACCUUUUCCAGUGAAAUUGCUGAGGCAAUUUAGGUAAUCACCACGUGAGAGGAUAAAUAAUGCAGUGGGUAUGUGCCCCCGCUUUCAUAUAGGGCUUCCUGAAGGGUUAGAUCCCAUUGCCUGCAAUUUUUGUGUCAUAUAUAUUGACGGCAAAUCUAUUCUCCUCCUGGCUGCCAAAACACACAGGAGAACAUUGCUCAGUGCUGCUUGCAUAGCUAUUCCAGGCAGCUGCCUUGAUGCAGCGUAACACAAGAGCGAGGGCAGACCCCAAACUGGUGUCUUGCUGGAAAAGAGAAGGACAAAGCACCUGGAUCACAGCCCAUAGACAUUCUUUCUUCCUCACCCAUCCUGCAGAUCCAUGAAGAAGCGUGCAUCAUUUAGAAAGAUACCGCCUUUAAAAAGAGACUCCUUCAUCUUCUGGUGCUUGCUGCCCACCUUCCAUGGUGGAGCAAUUCUGGAAGCCAGGAAUCAUACUUGGGAUGGAAAACUGCUCCGAAGAAGGGCUUCUGCGUCAAGUAAAGAAGACUGCUGGUUCCAGCAGCAAUCUUGCCUGUGAGAAGAGAGAGAAAUGGGCUCCAAAUGUUCAUGUAAGAAGCAUGCCCGGUGAAGGCAUCCAAUUGGUAACAGCACAAAUGAAUAACAUUGAAAAUCACAGACUGCCUUCCAGCAGAACCUCCGGAGCUUGGAAGAUCAUCAAGGCCAUUGGGGAUGGAAUGACCUGAGCAGAAGCCACAAAAGAAGAGCUUUCUGGUAAUGUUCCAGGAACAGAAACAAGAGUUUCAGAA
ensembl:lncRNA